GGGGCUAUAACUCAGUUGGUAGAGUGUCACAAUGGCAUUGUGAAAGUCAGCGGUUCGAAUCCGCUUAGCUCCA
rfam:Cyanothece sp. PCC 7424, complete genome.